AUGUCGAGCAGCCAUCCCACCCUGUUGUUUACAGCCCCAGACCACACCGGUACGGGGGUAGCUCCCGAAAUUAGACACGCCCUCUCACUCGGAGCUGUCCGCCGAGACUGCCCGGAACGCGCUUCUGCAGCGCCCUGGUCCCCGACUGCCCAGUCCCCUGAGGGUCACGCGCAGGAAGCGGAAGCCGGACCUACCCUCGGCCUCUCCCAGCCUGAAGUCUGUGUCCCUUCUACCUGCGAGCGGCGCUGCCCGCCCGCCGUGGGGAUGGCCCCGCCAGGGAACCCGCGGCGCCUCUGCAAGCUGGUGCAGGAGGGCCGGCUGUGCGCCCUGCAGAACGAGCUGCGGGCGGCCGGGGGCUGCCCGGAGAUAGUCGGGGACACCCUCCUGCACUACGCCGCCCGCCACGGCCGCCGGGACAUCCUGGUCUAUCUGACCGAGGCCUGGGGCAUGGACAUUGAAGCCACCAACCGAGACUACAAGCGGCCUCUGCACGAGGCUGCCUCCAUGGGCCAUCGAGACUGCGUGCUCUACCUGCUAGGUCGAGGAGCGGCUGUGGACUGCCUGAAGAAGGCCGACUGGACUCCUCUGAUGAUGGCCUGCACAAGGAAGAAUCUCGAGGUGAUCCAGGACCUUGUGAGACAUGGUGCCAAUCCGCUCCUAAAGAACAAAGAUGGCUGGAACAGUUUCCACAUUGCCAGUCGAGAAGGUGACCCUCUGAUCCUCCAGUAUUUACUCACUGUUUGCCCAGAUGCCUGGAAGACGGAGAGCAAAAUUAGAAGAACCCCUCUGCACACCGCAGCAAUGCAUGGCCAUUUAGAAGCAGUAAAGGUGCUUCUUAAGAGGUGCCGAUAUGAACCUGACUGCAAAGACAAUUGUGGCAUCACCCCCUUUAUGGACGCAAUUCAAUGUGGUCACGUCGACGUCGCCAGGCUGCUCCUUGAAAAACACGAGGCUUACCUGUCAGCUGAGGACAGCCUCGGUGCCCAGGCCUUGCACAGGGCAGCAGUCACUGGGCAGGAUGAAGCCAUCCAGUUCUUGGUCUCUGAACUUGGCAUUGAUGUGGAUGUGAGAGCAGCAUCAACCCGCCUCACGGCGCUGCUGUGUGCUGCUAAGGUUUGCUUCCUCUCAGCACAGCAUCCCCGCUUCCCAGGCACGCCCGGCUCCGUGAUGGCAGCUCCACAGUCCUGCUUUUGCUGGAUCCAUUUCUAUGGAAGAAAUUGCCCAUGAUGUACUCCUGAAAUAUUCAUGAUUCUGAAGCCCUUUAUCCCUUUAAAUAGAAACCUGACUUUAUUUUGUUUCUAGGCAAAACCCAAAAAAAGCCUUUUACUCCAUACAGUGCCAGCCUGGGCUUCACGUCUCCUCUCUCCCUAUUUUUUUGUAUUCAGGAGUAAUGUUCUUUGAAGCCAUAGAUAUCUAUUGUAUGAAAUUCCUAGCUCUCUUUUAUUUUGGAUUUCAGAAGUUAGUAUCUUUUUUUUUGAGUCAGUUGCCCUGGGUAGAGUACCAUGGCAUCAUAACUCACAGCAGCCUCCAACUCUUGGGCUCAAGUGAUCUUCUUGCCUCAGUAUUUUCUAUUUUUAGUAGAGACGGGAGUCUCAGUUUUGCUCAGGCUGGUCUCAAACUCAUAAGCUCAAGCAAUCCACCCACCUGGGUCUCCCAGAGUGCUAGGAUUACAGGCAUGAGCCACUGCACCCAGCCAAGAAGUUAAGAUCCUUUUAAAUGGAGCAGAGCCUGUAGCUUAGUGGGUAGGGCACCAGCCCCAUAUACCAAGGAUGGUGGUUUCAAACCCAGCCCCGGCCAAACCAACAAAAAAAUAGCCAGGUAUUGUAGUGGGCACCUGUAGUCCCAGCUACUCCAGAGGCUGAGGCAGGAGAAUCACCUGAGCCCAAAAGUUGGAGAUUGCUGUGAGCUGUGACGCCACAGCACUCUACCGAGUGAUAAAAUGAAACUGUCUCUAAAAACAAACAAACAAAAAAGAUCCUUUUAACUGGCUCUCUGAUGUAUAAAAUAUUGAAGAUAAGUAAAAAUUUUUCACUAGAAAAGUAGACAUUUUCAAUGCCAAGAGCCUUUUGCUUUUUAUCUUUAACUUUUAUUGAGCAGUUAUGAGCACUUCUAGUUUACCUUUGUCCUGAAGAUUUUUGCACUUUUUGUGGAUCCUGUAUAAAUCACAAGAUCUGCAGUGCUCACACUAAUGGAAACCCAAAUGCAUCGUGUCAGUAAUUUAAUCCACAGAGUCGAUCACCUAUAUUCUAUCAUUAAAUGUCACCAGAAAUUUUAUUGAGUGACUUAUACUAGAAUUUUUUUUUUUUUUUUUUUUUUUUUUUGGUAGAGACAGAGUCUCACUUUAUGGCCCUUGGGUAGAGUGCCGUGGCCUCACCCAGCUCACAGCAACCUCCAACUCCUGGGCCUAAGCGGUUCUCUUGCCUCAGCCUCCCGCGCAGCUGGGACUACAGGCGCCCGCCACAACGCCCGGCUAUUUUUUGGUUGCAGUUUGGCCGGGGCCGGGUUUGAACCUGCCACCCUCGGUAUAUGGGGCCGGCGCCUUACCGACUGAGCCACAGGCACCGCCCGACUUAUACUAGAAUUUAAUGAAUCUUCCUUGAGAUACGAAAAUUCAGUAUUAGCAAUUGACUUUUUUUUAACUUUUUUUUCAAAAAUAUUUUCCUUUAAUAUUUAGUUGACUUUUUAUUUAUUUAGUUUUUUUUUUUGGAGUUCCUGGCCAGGGCUGGGUUUCAACCCACCACCUCUAGCAUAUGGGGCUGGCGCCCUACCCCUUUGAGCCACAGGCGCUACCCAGCAGUUGACUAUUUUAGAAAAUGUACCUAAUAUGCAUUAGAGUUUGUGUUGAAGGGUUUGCUUUUUUUUCAUCACAGUGAUAUUGAGUUUAUUUCAACACUCAGGAAGGACAUACAAGCACAGUUCAGACUCUCUUAUCCCUGGGUGCUGACAUCAGCUCUAAAGAUGAAAGAAAUCGAUCAGGUAUGACUUAACUUUUACAUACGUUUUGAAAAUAAUUAGUAAAUUGGCCGGCACAGUGGCUCAUACUUAUAAUCCUAGCAUUCUGGGAGGCUGAGGCAGGUGGAUUGCUUGAGCUCACAGGUUUGAGACCAGGCUGAGCCAAAGAGAGACCUUGUCUCUAAAAAUUGCCGGGCAUUGUCACAGCCACCUGUAGUCCCAGCUACUUGGGAGGCUGAGACAAGAGAAUUGCUUAAACCCAAGAGUUUGAGGUUGCUGUGAGCUGUGACGCCACAACACUAAUAUUGAGGACAACAAAGUGAGACUCUGUCUCCAAAAAAUAUAUAAAUAAAUAAAUGAAAAUAAUUAGUAAAUUGAAUGCAACCAAAACAUGUACUUUAGUAUUUAAAACAUUGGUUUUAAUGUUAUUCUUCUAAUAGUUCAGCAACUUUUCCUCCAUUCUCAAAGCCAUGGAACUAUUGUUCCUCCCAUGACAGUGAUGUUGACUACCACUGUCACAGUUACUGUUGUUGUUACUUUAAACUAGAACAAGGAAUGUGUCAUAAAAGCACUUUCUAUCUAGUCCAUUAUGACACUUGCAAUCCAGGUAUUAUACAGAUUUUUUUUUUUUUUUUUUUUGAGACAGAGCCUCAAGCUGUCACCCUGGGUAGAGUGCUGUGGCAUCACAGCUCACAGCAACCUCCAACUCCUGGGCUCAAGCCAUUCUCCUGCCUCCACCUCCCAAGUAGCUGGAACUAUAGGCAACUGCCACAACGCCCGGCUAUUUUUUUUGGUUGCAGCCAUCAUUGUUGUUUGGCGGGCCCGGGCAAGAUUCGAACCCGCCAGCUCAGGUGUAUGUGGCUGCCUCCUUAGCCGCUUGAGCCACAGGUGCCAAGCCUAUUAUACAGAUUUUUCACAGGUCAUCUGUCUUUGGGGUAUAUUUAGAAACUAAAUGCACUAUAAUUGUUUAAAUCUAGUGCUUGAAAUAAUAUUCUCAGAGCUAAUUCUUUAGAUUUGGACUUCAGAAUAAACCCUCAAAUUAAGGAGGUUUAGCCAUCUUACAAGGCUUUGCUGGGACCUUGAACAUGUUUCAAAGACUCACAGGUAAAUAACUGCUCACUCUGAGGGUGGAAAGGCAGCCACCCAGCCCAGGAAGGGACACAGCCACUACUGGUAGACAGCAGAACCGUGAUGCUCUCAGACUCUGAGCACUAAUUUCUGCACCUGGAAUAGGAGAACUGGUCAACAGUUUUUCUUUUUGUCACAUCAUUCUUUUUUAUUUUUCUUUGAGACACAGUGUCACCCUGGGUAGAGUGCUGUGUCAUCACAGUUCACAGCAACCUCAAACUCUUAGGCUUACAUGAUUCUCUUGCCUCAGCAGCACCCACACAGGCACCCACCAUACCACCUGGCUAGUUUUUUUCUAAUUUUAGUAGAGACGGGGUCUCACUCUUGCUCAGGCUAACCUCAAACUCCUGAGCUCAAGCAAUUUACCUGCCUCAGCCUCCCAGAGUGCUAGGAUUACGGGCAUGAGCCACCAUGCCCAGGCCCCAUCAUUCUUAUUCAUGGUGAUCUUUUACUUAUAAAGUGGAUUUAACAAAACUUUGAAAACGUUUUCUGUACCCCUUAAAAUAUGUUUCUAUAGUAGUCAAAAGUGCGUACAAUGGCGGCGCCAGUAGCUCGGUGGGUAGGGUGCCAGCCACAUACGCUGGGGCUAGCCGUUCGAUCCCAGCCCGGGCCUGCUGGGGCAACAAUGACAACUGCAGCAGAAAGGUGGCCGGGCAUUGGUGGUGGGCACCUGUGGUCCCGGCUGCUUGGGAGGCUGAGGUAAGACAAUCACUUAAGCCCAAGAGUUUGAGGUUGCUGUGGGCUAUGACGCCACAACACUCUACCGAAGGUGACAUAGUGAGACUCUGUCUCAAAAAAGAAAAAAAAAAGUGCAUACCAGGGGGACGCCUCCUGUUUCUCAUUAACUUUCUCUGUGGCUUUAGACAAAUUUUUUAAAUCUUCCCUAACUGGUAUUAUCUUUAAUACAAUACUAUUUUCAAUGCAAUCUGGUUAAAAAGAAAAAUAUGUUGACCCAAUAUAAGCAAAGUCAUAGGGAUGGAUGAUGACAGCAUAAAAUCUGUAUAAUUGAAAGAAUCAAUGUUUCUAUGGGGCACAGUUGACUCCCAGGGUCAGCAUUGCUCCAGGGGUCAUGCAGUCUGAGUCUGUGUGGUUUUUGUCACCCUCAGCCCUGCAUCUGGCCUGUGCAGGUCAGCACGUGGCCUGUGCCCAGUUUCUCCUGCAGUUGGGGCUGAAGGAUUCCGAAGACGUGACAGGCACCCUGGCUCAGGAGCUCACAGCGAGAGCAGCUCUGCCUAGAAGGCAGUGACCUAUGGAUGUUUCUAAGGAGGCAAUAAGGUGCAUGGUAAUU